GAUGAACGCUGGCGGCGUGCCUAAUACAUGCAAGUCGAGCGAACGGACGAGAAGCUUGCUUCUCUGAUGUUAGCGGCGGACGGGUGAGUAGCACGUGGAUAACCUACCUAUAAGACUGGGAUAACUUCGGGAAACCGGAGCUAAUACCGGAUAAUAUUUUGAACCGCAUGGUUCAAAAGUGAAAGACGGUCUUGCUGUCACUUAUAGAUGGAUCCGCGCUGCAUUAGCUAGUUGGUAAGGUAACGGCUUACCAAGGCAACGAUGCAUAGCCGACCUGAGAGGGUGAUCGGCCACACUGGAACUGAGACACGGUCCAGACUCCUACGGGAGGCAGCAGUAGGGAAUCUUCCGCAAUGGGCGAAAGCCUGACGGAGCAACGCCGCGUGAGUGAUGAGGGUCUUCGGAUCGUAAAACUCUGUUAUUAGGGAAGAACAUAUGUGUAAGUAACUGUGCACAUCUUGACGGUACCUAAUCAGAAAGCCACGGCUAACUACGUG
rnacentral:rRNA from 1 species